ensembl:ncRNA F28F5.9 ncRNA
UGCGGUAGCGAUGGUCCUUGGGACUUAGGGGUCCCUUGCCACAUGUUACGAUAAGCAAACUUAGCGGUCCUAGACAUAGAGACCAGGAAAGGCAAUGAAACGCAGAGUGGAAACACACACAAUUGGGCCAUCACCUCGUCUGCGAAUGAUUGCGUAACUUGACCA